CUGAGCAAACUGCCUGAUGGAGGGGGAUAACUACUGUGAAACGGUAGCUAAUACCGCAUAACGUCGCAAGACCAAAGUGGGGGACCUUCGGGCCUCAUGCCAUCAGAUGUGCCCAGAUGGGAUUAGCUAGUAGGUGGGGUAACGGCUCACCUAGGCGACGAUCCCUAGCUGGUCUGAGAGGAUGACCAGCCACACUGGAACUGAGACACGGUCCAGACUCCUACGGGAGGCAGCAGUGGGGAAUAUUGCACAAUGGGCGCAAGCCUGAUGCAGCCAUGCCGCGUGUGUGAAAAAGGCCUUC
rnacentral:rRNA from 1 species